rnacentral:lncRNA from 1 species
AUUUGGAAAGGAAGAACUUGAGAGCAUUUUCUCAGGCCUGGAGAACAACCAAAGGCUUCAAGGCCUCAGUCUGCGUUAUCGUGGUGUGGGACCUCAGAGCGGGCUAAGACUGGGUUCGGUCAUCAGCCAGAGUGCCAUUUGGUGAGACAUGUCCCCCGCUGCCCCCUUCUUAUCUUGGCUUUAUUCUGUCUUGAUUUAUACGAUCUGUUAUAAUUCUAAUCAUAUUUUCUCCAUUCUUGUUAUUUUUGCUUGCCUUUUCUUAACCAUAAGAGAAGGUCCUUUAGUUAAGUUUGAAAAUUAGUGGUGUCAUACUGAAUAUAUGUGCUUGGCCAGCUGACAUAGUCACUAGGUCUAUUUUUUAUGACAUGGCCUAUUAUUAAUUAAUUAAUUAUUAUGAUUAUUUCUUUAUUAUUUUAUGACUAGGUAUUUUAUUUCAUCAGAUGAAAACUUUAAAUCCAAAUUUGAGGAAGUAGAACUAACAUAAAAUAGACAAUGUAUUCUGCUCCCUUCUCCAGCAAGCUGUACCUUGAAGGCAAUUACUUGGAAUGUUCUGGAGCGCUGGCUCUUCUCAGGCCCAUAGCAGACUCUGCGGAGACACAGGGGAAAGACCGGCUGACCCCAGGCUCACCAGACGCUGGAAAUCCCCCUCAGCGGCUCCAAGCCAAACAGAGAGGAAGUUCAACUUUGAACCAGAUUACAAAAUCGUCUGAAGCUGUAACAGUGAAAACUACUUCAGGGAAGAAAAAGAGAAAAAAAGGAAUCAAGAAGAAAAUUGAAGGUCUGAUGGAAGCUGGUCCUUGGUUAGUGAAGUUGCAUUUGGCAGAUAAUGGCAUAGAUGGAAAAGGAAAAGAAGGAGAAAAUGGUUUGUCGGAAUUCAUUCAAACUUUAACAUACCUGAUCAAAUACUCUGCCCACUUAAGGGAAAUUGACCUUGGAAACAAUGUUCUGGGAGAAAUGGCUGCUGCUGAAAUACUUGAAGCACUGAGAGUCAGAAAGACAGGUAAACUACCGGUCUUAAAAAUUACAGUCACUCCCCAGAUCUCUUCAGAUACCUUCAGAUCAAUUUGGAAAAAUAGCAAGAAGUCUAAUACUAUCCGUAAAAAGAAGAAAAAGGUAAGUUCUUGGACGUCUGUGUCAGUGAGGAGCAGCCACCAGGGGGUGCUGUGUGGAGCCUGGGCCCUUGGGGCAGAUGGCACCAUCAGCUGCAGGUUUUGCAUUUGA